UACGUAGGGGGCAAGCGUUGUCCGGAUUUAUUGGGCGUAAAGAGCGUGUAGGCGGCCUGACAGGUCUGCUGUGAAAACUCGAGGCUCAACCUCGAGAUGUCGGCGGAAACCGUCUGGCUAGAGUCCGGAAGAGGAGAGUGGAAUUCCUAGUGUAGCGGUGAAAUGCGCAGAUAUCAGGAAGAACACCUAUGGCGAAGGCAGCUGGCUACGCGAAUAUUGACACUGAUGCACGAAAGCGUGGGGAUCAAACAGG
rnacentral:rRNA from 1 species